CUAAAACCUCUCAUGCCCUUUCUCUCGACUCUCUUUCUUUUUUUAUUUUUUCUAGCGUUUAGAUUCUUCAUUUUUGCCGUACCAGGCGGCUUCUUCUGCCUUUUCGGGUAGAGGAAGGCCGCUUUCCCUUGCCCUCCCUCUCCCUCCCUCAUUUUGGGCGAGGUUUAGUGCCGAAGAGCUCUGCCUCCAUCCUCUCUGAAGGUCAUCAUAGGUAGCAGGGUGAUUUGGAUCUCAAGUUCGGUUGGCUGGUUGGGUUUGAGCUUCGAAUGUGGCUUUGUUAGGCAUGCAAACGUGUUUACUUUGGACGCCUAAGCUUUCUUCUCUCAAACGUCAUCCAGUUCUUGCUCAAGAGACCAGCGGCGCUAGAUUGUCUUUAAAGGUCCUUUGUGCUACUUUUAGAAGGACGGGUUGUUGGACAGUGUUUCAUAUGUGUCUCUCUUUCUCAUCUUGCCAGCGUCUGCUACCACCAGUUGACAAUUGGUGGCUGGUGGCAUUCCUCCUCUAAUCUCCUGUUAGCUCUAGGUUUGUUGGUUGUAAGCCUUUAGGCCAUGUAGCUUGUUUAGGGCUAGUAUUUGGGACCUUUUUUCUCCUUUAUGAUCUUGAAUUGUAUUUGGGUUUGGUUCUUUUGAGUUUGAGAUUGUAUUAAUCUUUGUGUUUUAACGAAUGAAUUCCUGCCUUUGAGAAAAAAAAAAAAGUAAUUAUAAAAUUGAGUGAGC
rnacentral:misc_RNA from 1 species